UGCCAGCCGCCGCGGUAAUACGUAGGGGGCAAGCGUUAUCCGGAAUCACUGGGCGUAAAGGGUGCGUAGGCGGUUUUUCAAGUCAGAAGUGAAAGGCUAUGGCUCAACCAUAGUAAGCUUUUGAAACUGUAAAACUUGAGUGCAGGAGAGGUAAGUGGAAUUCCUAGUGUAGAGGUGAAAUUCGUAGAUAUUAGGAGGAACACCAGUGGCGAAGGCGACUUACUGGACUGUAACUGACGCUGAGGCACGAAAGCGUGGGGAGCGAACAGGAUUAGAUA
rnacentral:rRNA from 1 species